rnacentral:rRNA from 1 species
AAUGAACGCUGGCGGCGUGCCUAACACAUGCAAGUCGAGCGAACAGACGGGGAUCUGGCUCGGCCGGCGUGAGCACCGGACGGGUGAUUCAUACGGGUAUGGCCUAACUAUGGGACUCGGAUAACAACAGCAAACCUGAGCUACUACCGGACGAUAUAUUGCACCGCAUGGUGCCAUAGUCCAAGACGGUUUUGCGGUGACGUAUAGGUGGAUCCGCGCCGCAUUAGCUAGUUGGUAAGGUAACGGCUUACCAAGGCGACGAUGCGUAGCCGACCUGAGAGGGUGAUCGGCCACCUUGGCUCUGAGACACGGUCCCGACUCCUACGGGAGGCCGCAGUCGGGACUCCUCCGCGAAGGGGGAAAGCCUGACCUAGCGAAGCCGCGUGAGGGAUGACGGUCUUCGGCUCGUAAAACGCUGUUGUUCGGGAAGAAGUAAUGUGCUUUUAACUAUGCCCGUCAUGACGGUACCGGAAGAAGAAGCCCCGGCUAACUACGUG